rnacentral:rRNA from 1 species
AUUGAACGCUGGCGGCAGGCCUAACACAUGCAAGUCGAGCGAGCGGCGGACGGGUGAGUAAUGUCUGGGCAACUGCCUGAUGGCGGGGGAUAACUACUGGAAACGGUAGCUCAUACCGCAUACCAUCAGAUGUGCCCAGAUGGGAGUAGCUAGUAGGUGGGGGAACGGCUCACCUAGGCGACGAUCCCUAGCUGGUCUGAGAGGAUGACCAGCCACACUGGAACUUGGACACGGUCCAGACUCUUACGGCAGGCAGCAGUGGGUAAUAUGGCACAAUGGGCGCAAGCCUGAUGCAGCCAGGCCGCGUGUAUGAAGAACGCGUUCGGGUUGAAAAGGAGUUUCAGCGGUGAGGCGUUACCCGCAGAAUAGACACCGGCUAACGCGGGGCAAGCAGCCGCGGUAAUAC